rnacentral:rRNA from 1 species
UUAUUUGAGAGUUUGAUCCUGGCUCAGGACGAACGCUGGCGGCGUGCCUAAUACAUGCAAGUUGAGCGCUGAAGGUUGGUACUUGUACCGACUGGAUGAGCAGCGAACGGGUGAGUAACGCGUGGGGAAUCUGCCUUUGAGCGGGGGACAACAUUUGGAAACGAAUGCUAAUACCGCAUAAAAACUUUAAACACAAGUUUUAAGUUUGAAAGAUGCAAUUGCAUCACUCAAAGAUGAUCCCGCGUUGUAUUAGCUAGUUGGUGAGGUAAAGGCUCACCAAGGCGAUGAUACAUAGCCGACCUGAGAGGGUGA